rnacentral:antisense_RNA from 1 species
UAUAUGUGAAGUGGGCGGUUGUAAAGUUAGCUUUCUCUUCAUUUAGCUGUCACUGGACAGAAAAAUAUGAGCUGUGGGCAGAUGCCCCUGGAUGAGAGCCAGUAGCCAGUCUCUGGCCUCCCUGUGCCCUCCCCUAGGAGCCCCCCACCCCGCCAUGGGUCCCCUCCUGGCCUCUGCCAGCCUCUGCCAGCCUCUCCCACUCUUGCUUCAUUGACCUCUGGCUCACCUUUAUUUUUUCUCCUGUCUCUUCCCACUUCUGGUUUCUUUGUUUGGGUUUAUCACAGAUCCUUUCCUCUUCCCUCCUUUCAUCUUUCUAAGCCCUCUCAAGAGAGAAGAAUCAUAUUUUUCCUCAACCAUCGCUCUAUCUCUGGCACCCAGCACAUUGCCAGGCUGAGUUGGCACUCAAAAAUGUUUGUAGGACAAACUACUCUCUCUGUACAUCUUUCUGACUUGGUGGGGAAGAAGGUCCAAAACUUUGCUGAUCACUCCUUGGAUGAAGAAACUUCUCAUACAGUGGUGUGAGUCCUGGAGCCAGAAUGGUUGGCUUGAGCCCCAAUUUCAUUACUGCCUGGCCAGGUGAAGGAGAUUCUCUUCAACAGUGGCAGCCAAGGAUGUCUCUCCUUCAUACCCUGACUCUCCUCUGCUGGGUCCCCUCCCGGAUACAGGGCUCACACCUGUGGACCUCAGAGCCAGCGUCAAGACCGAGAGGAAAGAAAUCACCAAAAGCCAGACCCUUGUGUAGAGGGAAGGGGAAGGAAGGGAGGGAAGACAGACUCCUCUGGGGAUACAUGCGACUAUCUUGGCUGGGAAAUCUGAUCUGGUGGGGGACUCACCCCCUCCUCUGGAAUCAGCUCAGCCCUGAUGUGUCUUUGUGGGCUUGGGUUUCUCUGUGCCUGAAAGAUGAGGCGUGGGGUGGGGGUGGCUGGGCUGUUGGUUGAGGCUGAAUUCUUCUGAGCAAUGUGGUUGUGUUUACUGGGAGGGUGGGAGGGCCAGACCUUUUUCCUGCCUUCCAGGCUUCGGAGAUAAGGCAGAAAGUGAGGAUGAAGGAUAGAAUGGGUAAUAUUCUGAAACCACAAGAAAGAGUUCUGGCUUUUAUCUCUGCCCCACAGCUCAGAGAUGUUCCUGGGGCAUCUGGAAGGAAGCCACCCCACUCCCACCACCCUGGGGUCCCAGCCCAUGGGGAGCGCAGAACCUCAGUAGGUACCCCUUUCUUCCAUUCUACCUCCCGUCCAUUGUCAGUUUAGCCACAAAGUUAUUUUAGCUUUUUUACUGCUCUUCCCACCCUCAGUUUUCCCUGCCACAUGAGCCCAGCCCUAGAGCUGAGCUUUUCUCCCUGCCUCCCAGCACAGCCAAAGCCACAGAGACCCUAGGCAGGUGACAGAGCCCAGCCUGGCAUGCAUCGGCCUUGAGGGCUCUGCUGCAAGACCACCUUCCCCUUCCUCGCUGGCCCCUCAGGGGUCGUGGCCAGCCUGCAUCCUGGACACAGACCAGCCCCAAAGCAACCAGUGCCAAGCCCUGGGGAUAGACAGUCACCUGGUAUAAAAAACACCACCACCUGGGCAGCUUUUUUUUUUUUUCUCUCCCUCCAUUUUUUUUUUUUUUUUUUAAAAACAAAAGUGUCUGUACAAAAAUGGGGAUCAGGAUCUCAGUCUGUGGAAAUCUGUUUUAUUCUGACCAACAUCCAAUAUCAUUUCCAUGGCAUAGCUCUGGGCUGGUCCCAUGGAAGAGAUUCCAAAUAUGUAGUGAUUUUUGGUGGAAUUUCUGCCCCCUUGGAGGGGAAGAUGACUGCAUGGCAUGCUGGGAGUGCAGGCACAGGGCAGGAUUGAGGGUGGCUGGAGCUGAGGAGCCAGUGUGUGCCUUCGUCUAUGCUGACCUUGGCCUUUACACCCUCCUUAGUGUCAGACACCAGCGCGCCCCCUGCUGGUGGGGAGGGGAAGCAGGGCUGACUCCACCCCAUCAUGGGAGACUCCCUUUUGGCUUCUGUCUCAUCAUGGAGAGCUUCAGUCCACUCGGCGUUCUCCUCCUCCCAUUUUCCUGGGUUCCCUGAACGAUGAGCCAAGUAAGCUGUCUUAGCUGGAGAGAUGACAAUGGACUUGGACAAAGUCUGGAGGAAGCAGGGCAGUGUCUCCCUGCCUUCAGCCCAGAGUUUAGGUGAGGGGACUCAGUUUGUGGUAGGAAGAGUCCUGGCUGCUUUGAAGCCCAUUCUCCUAGGCAGCCCCACCUUAUUCUAAGAGAAAAUACCCUGUAAAGUGUUCCCUGCUGGGGAAUGACAGUGCCAGCUGCUCUUCCAGGCCUCCAGAACCAUCUGGGGCUUGGAGGCAGAGGUGCUUCCUCCCUGGUGUCCAGGCAGGGAUGGGCUAGGAGCGGCUGGGAAUGGAAAAGGAGGUGGGCCGCUCAUUUUGCAGGUCCAUAUGACUGAUCACGUGGUCCAGUUCAGAAGGCCGGGUGGCUCCUUGGGCUUUACCCUGAGCGAGACGAGGCUUGGAGACUUAUAGUCACCAUCUGAGGAGGGCUCAAAGCUGUGGCCCCCCAGGGUGGGGGGAAAGCCAUGGAUGGAGUAGAUGCCAGGGUGAGCCACAGAGGGGGCUGGCACCCCCAUGAAGCCAGCCACACUCCCAUGGGAGUGGGAAUAUGGAGACAUGCAUGGGGAGGGUAUGCCCUCUGGAGACACAAGGCAGGGGCCCCCAGGGCUCCCGGAUCCUGGACUGGCCCACAGGGAGUUCUGCAGCUGAAAAGAGAGAGGAAAGAAGGUCCAUGAGCCGGUAGCUUCAGGAGCUGACUUCCCUACCCAGGGGCUUUCUCUUUGUCCUUGGGGCCCCAGAAACUUUCCAGGAAACCUCCACUUGGCUCAGAUCUACCCCCUCCCACCCCCAACACUGGCAGUGGCAUCUCAGGAGGCUCCUGCCACUGUUCUCAAAACGAAAUUUUCUUCUGUGAUUCCUUUGUGUUCCGCAUGCGUCAUUCAUGAGACAGGCAAGAGCCCCGGUUUGCAGAGGAAGAAGUGAAGUGGUGUACCCACUAUCACACAGAACGCUGACGCUCUCCAGGUCUCUUCAGACCAGACCUCAUAUUCUUUUUGGUGACCCUGCCACGUCCUGGCUCAGGUAGGGCUGGGGUCUUACCUGAGGGUGGCUGUCAGUGCGGGGCAGCACAGAGAUGUCAUAGGCAGCCGUGAAGGGAUUCCGCCCCUCCUGGAUCUUCCCAUAACGCUCACGCUUCCGCCACUUGGCUCUGCGGUUCUGGAACCAGACCUAGGGGCAGGUUGUGGGGGUUUGAGGGGGUGAUAGGGCAGCCCUGAGGAGAUAGGGCAGCCUGCUAGGGAGAGUUGAUGGUUGUGUCCUCUCGUGGGAGGGGGAGCAGGCUCCAGGACGGAGGAUUUCAACUGUUAAUCCACACUGUUCUCCAGGCCAGGGAAGCCUGGGAGGAAGCCUGGGAGAGGCCCAAGCCCAAAGUGGGUUAAUUGGCCCCAUGGGCCUCCAGCUGUCACUCCCCAGGUUGAAUCACUGUGGUCCUCCAGCUUGGCUGUGUCUACUAAGGGUGUUGUGGGGGCAUCUGUGGGCCUCAGGGGCCCUAGGUACUUCCUAGGUAUACUGUGCACAUGUGUUGGGUUUCUAGUCUCCCCGCCUCAUCUCCUUUUCCAAGCUACCCACCUCAUAGCAUCCGAGGAAUCUUAGACAUUUCUGUUCAGGUCAUGGUCCUGUUUAAACCCUCAGUGACUCCCUGGAGACCUUGGUCCAGAGCAUAGCUUCUUAACAAGGCCCCUGCCUCUCUGCACAGCCUCAUAUCCUGCCAGGCAAACACAUUUGAUUCUUCCUGGUUGCCUCCCAAGCUCCCGCCCAGCUCUUCUGAAAUACUGCUAUCUUGCUCCUUCCAUCUUUUGCUUAGGUUUUCUCUUCCUGGGCUCCUCAUCCCCUCAACACAUACAUCCAUGAUGGGCAUCCUCCACAGGACUUCCAAAAUACCCUGGACCUCUCUUUGUACUCACCCCAUUCCAUUACCAUGAUCUGUUUUUGGAAUCUGUUUCUCCCAUUCAUUUGUGAGCCCUUGGCAGAUAGGGGUGGCACAUCUGUGCGUUGUGCACAUCUGUAUACAUAUCUGUGAUGAAUUUGUUGUUUGGUAUAUGUGCUGUGACUGUUACAUUUAACUGUAUUGGUAUAUAUGUUUUGUAUUUCUAUCAUUUAGUCAACAUUUAUGUGUCAGCCUCUAAGCUAAAUUUAACAAUGUCAAAAUAAAACCAACCAAACAAAACAA